UACGUAGGGUGCGAGCGUUAAUCGGAAUUACUGGGCGUAAAGUGUGCGCAGGCGGCCGCGCAAGUCGAGUGUGAAAGCCCCGGGCUUAACCUGGGAACUGCAUUGGUGACUGGCAGGCUUUGAGUGUGGCAGAGGGAGGUAGAAUUCCACGUGUAGCAGUGAAAUGCGUAGAGAUGUGGAGGAAUACCGAUGGCGAAGGCAGCCUCCUGGGCCAACACUGACGCUCAUGCACGAAAGCGUGGGGAGCAAACAGG
rnacentral:rRNA from 1 species